AAGAGUGGUUAGGCGGAUUAGUAAGUGGAAAGUGAAAGGACGGGGCGUAUCCUCGGGAUGGAUUUCAAAAAUACUAAUAUAGAGUGUAGUAGGGGAUGAUGGAAUUCUUGGUGUAGAGGUGACAUUCCUAGAUAUUAGGAGGAACACCGGUGGCGAAGGCGGUCAUCUGGGCUACAACUGACGCUAAUGCACGAAAGCGUGGGGAGCA
rnacentral:rRNA from 1 species